UUGAACGCUGGCGGCAGGCCUAACACCUGCAAGUCGAACGGUAACAGAAAGCAGCUUGCUGCUUUGCUGACGAGUGGCGGACGGGUGAGUAAUGUCUGGGAAACUGCCUGAUGGAGGGGGAUAACUACUGGAAACGGUAGCUAAUACCGCAUAACGUCGCAAGACCAAAGAGGGGGACCUUCGGGCCUCUUGCCAUCGGAUGUGCCCAGAUGGGAUUAGCUAGUAGGUGGGGUAAAGGCUCACCUAGGCGACGAUCCCUAGCUGGUCUGAGAGGAUGACCAGCCACACUGGAACUGAGACACGGUCCAGACUCCUACGGGAGGCAGCAGUGGGGAAUAUUGCACAAUGGGCGCAAGCCUGAUGCAGCCAUGCCGCGUGUAUGAAGAAGGCCUUCGGGUUGUAAAGUACUUUCAGCGGGGAGGAAGGGAGUAAAGUUAAUACCUUUGCUCAUUGACGUUACCCGCAGAAGAAGCACCGGCUAACUCCGUG
rnacentral:rRNA from 1 species